UCCUGAAGAAAUCCACACAAUGAACAUGUUCCCAAGCUGUGCGCAGCUAUUAAGUUGAUUUUAGUGCCAGCAUGAUGGGGGCCACAUUCCCCAAUAGAUUUGUAUGCUCCACACACAAUUCCAGCAAUCCAAUCAACAGACAACACACAUUUAAUAGAAUUGUGUGCAAUAAAAAAUAAGUUAAUUAAUUGAGCGAAAAAGCAAUUUUCGAAAGGAAUAAAACGGAAUGGAACAGCGCGUGCUGUGAAAACUGUUGUCGAAGUUUUAUAACCCAAGUCGUCGCGUCGAGCGGCUUCUUGGACAGCUUGUGUCCAACCCACAUUGUUUACUGCCAUAUCGUUAACUUUAUUUUUACCCGUGUUCCUUUCCCUUGCCUCAUAUUACCGAUUCGAUGGCGACAGCAUUUCUGGUUAUCAAAAAUGCCAAAGCUCCGAUUCACUUCCAAAAAUGGGCGUGAGAAAUCAGCGGGGGGCCACCAUAUAAUUCCGACUUUUCGUCGAUUCAAGCGCGUCAUCGUAAGCGUCAUUAUGCCAUAAAUACAAAAACAACAAGCUGAAAUGUAAAUCGAGACGUGCAAAUAUUUAUAAGAGGAUCAAAUCGACAAGGAACGCGUGGCUCCCAGUGAAACAAACUCAACUGCCUGCAAGUGGGAGGAAUGUUGAAGGGAAAUCAAAGAUUAGAGGCGGUGACAGCCGCAUUAAACGAGAUGGAUUCGGUUUCAAUAAUGAAGACAACCAUAGAAAUCAAGAUCAGAGGAAGCUAGGAAAGCCAUUUUCUAUAAUUUGGCAAUACUAAGAUCUUGCAUAUAUUGGAUGGGAAAAACAUGUGUGGCAGUAUGUAUACACCAAGUGCGAAAUAAAACUAUGUUUGUUGA